UGAGGAACAUGAUCUUCGGCGGGGGAUAGCCGGCCCAACGGCCGGGUAAUACCGCGUACGACCACAUGGGGACAUCCCUGAGUGGUGAAAGCAGCAAUGCGCCGAUGGAGUGCCUCGCGGCCUAUCAGCUAGUUGGUGAGGUAACGGCUCACCAAGGCGACGACGGGUAGCUGGUCUGAGAGGAUGGCCAGCCACAGUUGGGACUGAGACACGGCCCAGACUCCCGUAACGGGG
rnacentral:rRNA from 1 species